CAGGAUGAACGCUAGCGGGAGGCCUAACACAUGCAAGCCGAGCGGUAGAGAUUCUUCGGAAUCUUGAGAGCGGCGUACGGGUGCGGAACACGUGUGCAACCUUACCUUUAUCUGGAGGAUAGCCUUUCGAAAGGAAGAUUAAUACUCCAUAAUAUAUUUGAUGGCAUCAUUAAAUAUUGAAAGCUCCGGCGGAUAGAGAUGGGCACGCGCAAGAUUAGCUAGUUGGUGAGGUAACGGCUCACCAAGGCAAUGAUCUUUAGGGGGCCUGAGAGGGUGAUCCCCCACACUGGUACUGAGACACGGACCAGACUCCUACGGGAGGCAGCAGUGAGGAAUAUUGGUCAAUGGGUGCAAGCCUGAACCAGCCAUCCCGCGUGAAGGACGACUGCCCUAUGGGUUGUAAACUUCUUUUGUAUAGGGAUAAACCUACUCUCGUGAGAGUAGCUGAAGGUACUAUACGAAUAAGCACCGGCUAACUCCGUG
rnacentral:rRNA from 1 species